GAUGAACGCUAGCUACAGGCUUAACACAUGCAAGUCGAGGGGUAACAAGAGAAAAGCUUGCUUUUCUUGUUGACGACCGGCGCACGGGUGAGUAACGCGUAUCCAACCUGCCUAUAACUAGGGAAUAACCUUGCGAAAGUAAGACUAAUACCCUAUGAUUUCCUUUGAUGACAUCAGAUUAGGAAUAAAGAUUUAUCGGUUAUAGAUGGGGAUGCGUAUGAUUAGCUUGUUGGCGGGGUAACGGCCCACCAAGGCAACGAUCAGUAGGGGUUCUGGGAGGAAGGUGCCCCACAUUGGCACUGAGACACGGUCCAAACUCCUACGGGAGGCAGCAGUGAGGAAUAUUGGUGGAUGGGCGGAAGCCUGAACCAGCCAAGGAGCGUGCAGGAUGACGGCCCUAUGGGUUGUAAACUGCUUUUAUACAGGAAUAAAGUUAGCCACGUGUGGUUAUUUGUAGGUACUGUAUGAAUAAUGACCGGCUAAUUCCGUGCCAUCCGCCGCAGUAA
rnacentral:rRNA from 1 species